GGUAAAAUGGCUGAGAUUAAGCGAUAAAUUGUAAAUUUAUAAACGAACAUAAAGUUCUUUUACCA
rnacentral:tRNA from 1 species